UACGAGGUGGGCAAGCGUUGUUCCGGAAUACUGGGCGUAAAGGGCGCGUAGGCGGCUCAUGAAGGCUGUGGUGAAAGUCCGGGGCUCAACCUCGGAUCGGCCGUGGCGACUCGUGGGCUGGAGCACUGUAGAGGCGGGUGGAAUUCCGGGUGUAGCGGUGGAAUGCGUAGAGAUCCGGAAGAACACCAGUGGCGAAGGCGGCCCGCUGGGCAGUGGCUGACGCUGAGGCGCGACAGCGUGGGGAGCAAACGAG
rnacentral:rRNA from 1 species